rnacentral:piRNA from 1 species
UUCGCCUAGUGCAAACCAAACCCAGUGGCC